UCUUGGUCAUUUAGAGGAAGUAAAAGUCGUAACAAGGUUUCCGUAGGUGAACCUGCGGAAGGAUCAUUACCGAAUCGUCAAACACGGGUUGUUGCUGGCUCCCCAAACGGGGGGCAUGUGCACGCUCUGUUUACGCAUCCACUCACACCUGUGCACCCUCUGUAGUUCUAUGGUUUGGGAGACAUCGUCUUCCUUCUGUGGCUCUACGUCUUUACACACACACCGUAGCGAUGUCUCAUGGAAUGUUUUUCUGCGUUUAACGCAAUACAAUACAACUUUCAGCAACGGAUCUCUUGGCUCUCGCAUCGAUGAAGAACGCAGCGAAAUGCGAUAAGUAAUGUGAAUUGCAGAAUUCAGUGAAUCAUCGAAUCUUUGAACGCACCUUGCGCCCCUUGGUUAUUCCUCGGGGCAUGCCUGUUUGAGUAUCAUGAACACCUCAACUCUCAUGGUCUUCCAUGAUGAGCUUGGACUUUGGGGGUUUGCUGGUCCUGUGGCCGGCUCCUCUCAAAUGAAUCAGCUUGCCAGUGUUUGGUGGCAUCACGGGUGUGAUAAUUAUCUACGCUCGCGGUCGUCUGCCAGGUAACCCUCAGCAAUGAAGGUUCAUUGGGGCUCAUAAACGUCUCUCCUCAGCGAGGACAACUUUUGAACGUUCGAUCUCAAAUC
rnacentral:rRNA from 1 species